GUGCCCAGCAGCCGCGGUAAUACGGAGGGGAGCUAGCGUUUAUUCGGAAUUACUGGGGCGUAAAGCGCACGUAGGCGGCUUUGUAAGUAAGAGGUGAAAGCCCAGAGCUCAACUCUGGAAUUGCCUUUUAGACUGCAUCGCUUGAAUCAUGGAGAGGUCAGUGGAAUUUCCGAGUGUAGAGGUGAAAUUUCGUAGAUAUUUCGGAAGAACACCAGUGGCGAAAGCGGCUGACUGGACAUGUAUUGACGCUGAGUGCGAAAGCGUGGGGAGCAAACAGGAUUAGAUACCCUGGUAGUCA
rnacentral:rRNA from 1 species